UACGUAGGUGGCAAGCGUUGUCCGGAUUUACUGGGCGUAAAGAGCGCGCAGGCGCCAAGUCAGUCGAAUGUGAAAGCCCCCGGCUUAACUGGGGAGGGUCAUUCGAUACUGCUCGGCUCGAAGACAGGAGAGGGAAGCGGAAUUCCCGGUGUAGUGGUGAAAUGCGUAGAUAUCGGGGAGGAACACCAGUGGCGAAGGCGCUUUCUGGCC
rnacentral:rRNA from 1 species